rnacentral:rRNA from 1 species
UACGAAGGGGGCUAGCGUUGUUCGGAUUUACUGGGCGUAAAGCGCACGUAGGCGGACUAUUAAGUCAGGGGUGAAAUCUCGGGGCUCAACCCCCGGAGCUGCCUUUGAUACUGGUAGUCUUGAGUUCGAGAGAGGUGAGUGGAAUUCCGAGUGUAGAGGUGAAAUUCGUAGAUAUUCGGAGGAACACCAGUGGCGAAGGCGGCUCACUGGCUCGAUACUGACGCUGAGGUGCGAAAGCGUGGGGGAGCAAACAGG